rnacentral:ncRNA from 1 species
AUGGUUUGAUUAAAUUACUUGAAAUAAGAGAAAAUCUAAAUCAGGGUAAAGGAAGAACAAGAAAAUAUUCGAUUAAUGACGUUUUGGAAUCCUCAGAGACUACACGCCAAACAUCACACAAGUGAUGAUGAUAUAGUCCGAUCCUUAUGGAGACAUAAGG